UGUCGUUCCUGGUGAGCCAACCAUGUUAGCUUUGUUGGCCGUCUACUUCGGUUUUGGGAUAGUAAUCAUCUGGAAUCAGCACUUCAGCAGAUUGAAAGCUCUGCAACAUGGCAUCAAGGUCAACAACCCAUAAUAAAGAAGGAUAAUGAAUCUAUGGGAACAAACCUUAUUUUUCUCGAUGAACAGGUAAUAGGUUAAGAAUGUGCUUCUAUCAAUACAACACGUUAGUAAGCAAAAUCUUUUUUCUCCAAAGGAACUCCGAGUGUUUUAGGUGUUUUUAACAUUCCAUCAGCAUCAAGAUUCAAGACUGAAUGAAACGUUGUGGUUCAAAUCAAACGUAAUGAGAUAAGAAUAAUUAUUUGGUCUAAGUUUUCUGGUCUAUAUCAAAAUUAUUCAACUACCGAUAAAGCCAAAAAGCUAAGGAGAGAAGCCAAAAACUUUUCGAGAGCCGGAUGUUUGAUCGAAAUGGUUUGAGAUCUCAUAAGCAUUUAGCUAGUUCACUUUCAUAUGCCAAAGUUGCUGAAUUUUAAUAUUUGAUUAUUUAAUAAAAUCAAGUUGUUAUUUUUUA